rnacentral:rRNA from 1 species
CUUGACUGUAGCCUGAAAUUGAAUUUGGGUUUUUUUUGCGCAGACUAGGUGGGAGGCGUUGAUAAUUUUCUUUUGGGAAAAUUGGAGCCAACAGUGAGAGACCACUCUGGAAAAGCUAGAAUUCUAAUGGCGUUCCUUGAAGCAGGACGCUUGACAGUUUCAGGUGGGCAGUUUGACUGGGGCGGUCAUCUCUUAAAAGGUAACAGAGAUGUGCAAAGGUUCCUUCAGGCUGGACGGAAAUCAGCCGUAGAGUAUAAAGGCAGAAGGGAGCUUGACUGUAAGACCUACAAGUCAAACAGGGGCGAAAGCCGGCCUUAGUGAUCCGACGGUACCGAGUGGAAGGGCCGUCGCUAAACGGAUAAAAGUUA